AGUGAACGCUGGCGGCAGGCCUAACACAUGCAAGUCGAGCGGCAGCGGGUCGUAGCAAUACGAUGCCGGCGAGCGGCGGACGGGUGAGGAAUACAUCGGAAUCUACCCAGUCGUGGGGGAUAACGUAGGGAAACUUACGCUAAUACCGCAUACGACCUGAGGGUGAAAGCAGGGGACCGCAAAGCCUUGCGCGAUUGGAUGAGCCGACGUCGGAUUAGCUAGUUGGUGAGGUAAAGGCUCACCAAGGCGACGAUCCGUAGCUGGUCUGAGAGGAUGAUCAGACACACUGGAACUGAGACACGGUCCAGACUCCUACGGGAGGCAGCAGUGGGGAAUAUUGGACAAUGGGCGCAAGCCUGAUUCAGCCAUGCAGCGUGUGUGAAGAAGGCCUUCGGGUUGUAAAGCACUUUUGUCCGGGAAGAAAUCUUCCGACCUAAUACGUCGGGAGGAUGACGGUACCGGAAGAAUAAGCACCGGCUAACUUCGUGCCAGCAGCCACAGUAA
rnacentral:rRNA from 1 species